rnacentral:rRNA from 1 species
CUGGGAGUACUGUAGUAAUAUAGUGUCUGAUCACGGCUCAGAUUGAACGCUGGCGGGAUGUUUACACAUGCAAGUCGAACGGCAGCACGGACUUCGGUCUGGUGGCGAGUGGCGAACGGGUGAGCAAUGGUCUGAACGUGCCUAGUAGCGGGGGAUAACUACGCAAAGGUAUAGCCAUUACCGUAUACGCCUCGGGGAAAGCGGGGGGACCUUCGGGCCUCGCACUAUUAGAGCGGCCGAUAUCGGAUUAGCUAGUUGGUGGGUAACGUGGCUCACCACAUGAUGAUCCGUAGCUGGUUUGAGAGGACGACCAGCCACACUGGGACUGAGACACGGCCCAGACUCCUACGGGAGGCAGCAGUGGGGAAUUUUGACAAUGGGGGAAACCCUGAUCCAGCCAUCCCGCGUGUGCGAUGAAGGCCUUCGGGGUUGUAAAGACCUUUUGGCAGGAAAGAAAACGGCACGGGAUAAUACCCCGUGCAACUGACGGUACCUGCAGAAUAAGCACCGGCUAACCACGUGCCAGCAGCCGCGGUAAUACGUAGGGUGCAAGCGUUAAUCGGAAUUACUGGCGUAAAGCGUGCGCAGGCGUUCGAAAGAAAGGAUGCAGGGAAUCCCAGAGCUUAACUUUGAACUGCAUUUUAUCCAACGGAGCUAGAGGUAUUGAGGAGGGGAAUUCCGCGUAGCAGUGAAAUGCGUAGAUAUGCGGAGGAACACCGAUGGCGAAGGCAGCCUCCAGGGAUAACACUGACGCUCAUGCACGAAAGCGUGGGAGCAAAUAGGAUGAUAAUUCUGGUAGUCCACGCCUCAAUCGAUGAAAGCUUUAAUCAGCUGUUGGGGCUUCGGUCGGUAGCGCAGCUAACGCGUGAAGUUGACCGCCUGGGGAGUACGGUCGCAAGAUUAAAAACUCAAAGGAAUUGACGGGGACCCCGUUGUUGGUGGAUACAUGGAUGCACCAUAAACGGCGAAAACCUUACCUACCCUUGACAUGUCUGGAAUCCCGAAGAGAUUUGGGAGUGCUCGCAAGAGAACUGGAACACAGGUGCUGCAUGGCUGUCGUCAGCUCGUGUCGUGAGAUGUUGGGUUAAGUCCCGCAACGAGCGCAACCCUUGUCAUUAGUUGCUACGAAAGGCACCCAAUUGAGACUGCGCUGUACAACCGAGUAGUGAAUACUUAAACGUAUGAGCCUUUAACAGGUGGCUCAGCAAUGCUCAACAAUGACGGCAGUCGCACCAUGGCAGGGGAGCCACACCAGAACCGAUCAGUCCGGAUCGCAGUCUGCAACUCGACUGCAGUCGGAAUCGCUAGUAAUCGCGGAUCAGCAUGUCGCGUGAAUACGUUCUGGUCUUAAAGAUGACCGCCCGGGUCACAUCAUGGGAGUGGGUUUUACCAGAAGUAGUUAGCCUAACCGUAAGGAGGGCGAUUACCACGGCAGGAUUCAUGACUGGGGUAAGCAACAAGGUG